GAAAGGGUGCGUAACACGUGGGAAUUUACCAAGAAGUGGGGAAUAGCUCAGCGAAAGCUGAAUUAAUACCGCAUAUGAUCGCAAGAUCAAAGCCGGGGACCGCAAGGCCUGGCGCUUUUUGAGAAGCCCGCGGCCCAUCAGCUAGUUGGCGGGGUAACGGCCCACCAAGGCUAUGACGGGUAGCUGGUCUGAGAGGACGACCAGCCACACUGGAACUGAGACACGGUCCAGACUCCUACGGGAGGCAGCAGUGGGGAAUUUUGGACAAUGGGCGCAAGCCUGAUCCAGCAAUGCCGCGUGAGUGAAGAAGGCCUUCGGGUUGUAAAGCUCUUUUGUCAGGGAAGAAACGGCGGUUUCUAAUACAGAUCGCUAAUGACGGUACCUGAAGAAUAAGCACCGGCUAACUACGUGCCAGCAGCCGCGGUAAUACGUAGGGUGCAAGCGUUAAUCGGAAUUACUGGGCGUAAAGCGUGCGCAGGCGGUUUUGUAAGUCUGUCGUGAAAUCCCCGGGCUCAACCUGGGAAUGGCGAUGGAGACUGCAAGGCUAGAGUUUGGCAGAGGGGGGUAGAAUUCCACGUGUAGCAGUGAAAUGCGUAGAGAUGUGGAGGAACACCGAUGGC
rnacentral:rRNA from 1 species